rnacentral:rRNA from 1 species
AUGACAGGAUCCAACUCGAGUGUACAUGGACAUCAACAUGUGGAAGAUGAUCUCCCAAAAACUCGCGCAACACUUGGCGAUAUGAUUGAGGAGAGUAUAGUUGCAGCUAUGCGAAGGAUGUUCGGUGGUCGUCUUCCUAUCACGGGUAAUGGGGAUCAACAUCAACACAGCCCCGCUGCCUUGCUGGCCGCCGACAACCGGCAACGUCAAGAACACAACGAUCGCCAUGUUGGUCGUGGAAGAGCGGCACGAGCUGCUGCCCAUGGCGCCCCUGCUGUUGGUGUUGAACGGAGGCGUGGCGACUUUGCUGCCCCCUCGUGA